rnacentral:rRNA from 1 species
GACGAACGCUGGCGGCGUGCUUAACACAUGCAAGUCGAACGGAAAGGCCCUGCUUUUGUGGGGUGCUCGAGUGGCGAACGGGUGAGUAACACGUGAGUAACCUGCCCUUGACUUUGGGAUAACUUCAGGAAACUGGGGCUAAUACCGGAUAGGAGCUCCUGCUGCAUGGUGGGGGUUGGAAAGUUUCGGCGGUUGGGGAUGGACUCGCGGCUUAUCAGCUUGUUGGUGGGGUAGUGGCUUACCAAGGCUUUGACGGGUAGCCGGCCUGAGAGGGUGACCGGCCACAUUGGGACGGAGAUACGGCCCAGACCCCUACGGGGGGAAGGAGGGGGGAAUAUUGCAAAAGGGGCGGAAGCCUGGUGCAGCAACGCCGGGGGGGGGAUGACGGCCUUCGGGUUGUAAACCGCUUUCGCCUGGGACGAAGGGUGGGUGACGGAAAUGGGUAAAGAAGCACCGGCUAACUACGU